GAAAUGCGAUAAGUAAUGUGAAUUGCAGAAUUCAGUGAAUCAUCGAAUCUUUGAACGCACAUUGCGCCCUUUGGCAUUCCGAGGGGCAUGCCUGUUCGAGCGUCAUCUAAACCUUCAAGCCCUGCUUGGUGUUGGGUGCCUGUCCCGCCUCCGCGCGCGGACUCACCUCAAAUCCAUUGGCGGCCCCCGCGUCGGCCACGAGCGCAGCAGAAACGCGAACUCGUGAGCCCGUCCGGGCGGCUCCCAGAAGCUACACCCACCCAGUUUGACCUCGGAUCAGGUAGGGAUACCCGCUGAACUUAAGC
rnacentral:misc_RNA from 1 species